rnacentral:rRNA from 1 species
UACGUAGGGCGCAAGCGUUGUCCGGAAUUAUUGGGCGUAAAGAGCUCGUAGGCGGUCUGUCGCGUCUGUUGUGAAAACUCGAGGCUCAACCUCGGGCUUGCAGUGGAUACGGGCAGACUAGAGUGCGGUAGGGGAGACUGGAAUUCCUGGUGUAGCGGUGGAAUGCGCAGAUAUCAGGAGGAACACCGAUGGCGAAGGCAGGUCUCUGGGCCGCAACUGACGCUGAGGAGCGAAAGCUAGGGGAGCAAACGGG